AUGUCACACAGCUGGAAGUGUCUGAGGUCAUAUUUGCACCCAGGACCGACCCCAGGCCUGGUUCUCUGUCCACUGAACCACCUAGCUGCCUCCCAUGUUCUUAAUAAUAAAAAAGCCUGUAUACAACACUUUGAGGUUUGCAAAACACUUUUCAAAGUCACAUUUAAGACUCCCAACAACACUGAGAGGUCCAGCACACUCUCCAUGGGGGCACUGAGCUGCCUUCAGAGCACGCAGAAAACCAAGAUGGAUCCCUUUGGAGAUCAGGUACCCAGCCAUCGAGCUCUGUCAUUUCCAGCUCUCUCUUCCUACACUCAAUUGUCUAAUUCUUCUGUGCAACAUUCAAAAAUCGGAUCAAUCUACAUGUUCUCUGCCCACCAGAGAACACUGCUGAAUUCUCCCAUUUAUCUAUGAGCCAGAAGCAAAGGUUUCUGGGUUCUGAACUACCCUUCAAGGCCUGGCUGCAGUCUGGUGAUCCCCACGAAGGCUUCCUUGACUUAUCUAAGUCCUUAUCCAUCUGCUUUGCCUCCAUGUGUGAUCUUGCAAGCACUUGAAGAUAGCCAGCAAGACCCUCCCUCCCUUGGACUUCUCUUCUUCAGGCUUACCAUGGCCAGCAAUGUCUCAAAGCCCUCAAGCACUUCCUCCUUUGGAUACACUCUGGCUUUUCAUGCCCUGCCUACAAGAUGGUGCCCACACCAAACCCUCCAUUUGGAUGAUUCCGUACAAAAGGAAGCCUUGUUCCCACUGGAUGGACAUAGGACUGGAAAAUCACAGGAAUACACUAAAGUCAUGCCUAGCAAAAUGGACUCUUCUUCCAACUCCCACCUUCAGUCUUAGUAUCAAUACUGUGAAUUGGCUCUAAGGCAGAAGAGUGGUAAGGGCUGGGCAAUGGGGGGUUAAGGGACUUGUCUAGGGUCACACAGCUAGGAAGUACCUGCAUCCAAAUUUGAAUCCAGGACCUCCCAUCUCUGGCCUUGGCUCUUUAUCCACUGAACCACCUAACUUUCCCCUAGAAUCCUUUUUUUAGAAGAAAUAAAAAGGUUUUAAGAAGGUUUCA
rnacentral:lncRNA from 1 species